GUGCCAGCCGCCGCGGUAAUACGGAAGGGGCUAGCGUUGUUCGGAAUUACUGGGCGUAAAGCGCGCGUAGGCGGCUGGACAAGUGAGGCGUGAAAGUCCUGGGCUCAACCCGGGGACGGCGCUUCAGACUGUUCGGCUGGAGUCCGGAAGAGGGUGGUGGAAUUCCGAGUGUAGAGGUGAAAUUCGUAGAUAUUCGGAGGAACACCGGUGGCGAAGGCGGCCACCUGGUCCGGUACUGACGCUCAAGUGCGAAAGCGUGGGGAGCAAACAGGAUUAGAUACCCCUGUAGUCC
rnacentral:rRNA from 1 species